GCCGAGUCAGAGAAAACAAGUGCAACAACAUCAGGACACAGACGGAACGGAGAACGGACGCAGCACUAACACCCAGCCCAACCCAACAGCAGCCAGCAACCUCGCAGGCUCGCACCACCACCUCGUCCGUCGCAGCAUCAGGCCAGCAGCCGGCGGCGCCGGGCGCCGUCGUGAAUUACCCCAGGACUUGUCCCCUCCAGCAAACGGAGCGUUCAGUAGAGCACGCCUCGGCGAUAUCGCGGCGACAUCUGCUGCAGCCCGUGGAGCCCAACGAGAGCAGCAUCAGCAGCAGCUCCCGAUCGCUCCUGCUACCCACGGCCUCGCCCACGCCUGCGUGCGCAGCAGCAGAAGCAAAGGUGAGAGCUCUGCGCCCCCGUCCCAAUCCCCCCGCCUCGAUCUAACCUCACGCGCGGGGCUGCCGCGGCCGGCAAUGGCGGACCGGCGCCAAUGGCGGCCGCGUCACUUGCCAGCGCGGCCUCGGACUCACUAUUUGGGAGCCGAGGAGCUGAAUUCGGGUGCGGAAGCUUCGCUUUGGGGUCGGAAUUGUGGUGACCUUGAUUGGAUCAGAGAAGGCGAGCUGGGGAUUGGGGAGUUUGAGCUCUACACCCGUGUUGUGGCAGGGUUUGGUAUUGCCGUUGAUUAACCAUGAUUGGCAGUAUAGUAUCAGAUUCAGAGUUCUUCGUGGCAUUCUACUCUGCAGCUCAUUUGUAGAUAUAUGGAAUUCCUUCCCUGAGAAAUGCCGUCCUCUACACCACCAUCAGUACAACCCACACCAAGCCUUCAACCGUUACCAUCUCCUGCAGUAAGCCAGAGUACUCGUAUUGAUGUUCGUGAGAUCAAGUCCAAGAUUUUUAAGACGAUUGGGCCUGAACGAGCAAAGAAAUACUUUCAGCACCUGGAAAGGUUCUUAUCUUCAAAACUGAGCAAGAAUGAAUUUGAGAAGCUUUGUCUUGUUGCACUUGGCCGUGAUAACCUCCCAUUGCACAACCACCUUAUCCGUUCCAUCCUACAUAAUGCCAGUCGAGCUUGUGGCCCACCUGUAAUUAAUGAUCCUAGGCUGGUCAGAGGUGCCACCACUUCUGGCCAUGUGAUUGUUCCUCCUGUCUGGGACAAUGGUGGUCCGUUGAACCUAAAUGUCAAAGAGAACAGACCAUUAAGCAGAAGGGAAAAUCUACUAACCCAAAAGCCAUCACUGAAUCAUUGUGACGCUAUUAUGCUGGAGAAUGGUGUUCAUCAUUUGAGUGAUCUGAAGAGAUGUACACAAUUUCAAAACAGUGACCAUGUGGAGCCACUUUUCAAGCGACCGCGAAUGGAGAAGGAACCAUUCAGUUUACAUAAUUCUCUGCAGAGCAAUGGGUCUGCUAAGGCUUCAAGAGAAAACCUGGGACAAGAAAUUAUACACCAACCCGAAGGUCCAGUGCAAGCACCACUUGGCAUUCAGUUACGUCCUGGCAAUUUUGGUGUGGCCCGAAUACCCCUUUCUUCUGUGAGUUCAAAGGAUACCUCUGACACUUGUAUCGAAGUUGGUGAACUCUGUGAUACUUUGUCAGUGAAGAAGAGGUUGGACAAAAUGGCAGGAGCAUCUGGGUUGGAAGGGGUCUCGAUAGAGUGUGCCAAUUUGUUGAAUAAUGGCAUUGAUGUUUUCAUGAAGCAGUUGAUUGGAUCUUGUGUUGAAUUAGUUAGAGCAAGGUCUCGACAUGGCAAACUAAGACAUGAUGCAUUGAAGCAGCAGAUGUGCCGAAAACUAAUAAAUGGUGUAUCAGUACAUACCCAUGUUUCUGGGCAGAGUUCUAUUAUACCUCCAGAGACAAAUUCCAUCUCCAUGCAGGACUUAAAGGCAGUGAUAGAGUUAAACCCUUGUUUGCUUGGGAUUAAUGCAUCACUGUUACUAGAAAAGAUCAAUUCAUAUGACUAGUUGGAUGGAGCUAGUUGUAUUCAUCUCAUCACAAGAUCCUAUGACCUUGAUGGUCUGUCUUGUUUCAUGGCUGUUGUAAUCAGGCCAUAAUUUUACUGACGGGUAGUGGUGAAGGCAGGUGCAUUCUGUGCAGUACCCUGAUUGUUUUUCAUCUCAUCUCUGGUACAAUCUUCCAGAAUAAACAAAUAUCUGUAUUUUCUGGGUGCAGUACUAAACUCAUUUAUUUCCUGCACCUAAGGACCACUAUUGGGCUAAAGUGCUUCAGAGAUAACUAUGUUGCUGGACUCCAAACAAAUUGAGCCAUAUCACAGAUUUGAUCUGAUUGGGAGUCACGCGCCCCCCAAACUUUGCCUUGCUGCACUGACCUCUGCAAUUCACAAGAUAGGAUAGUGUGAAACCAAGCCUGGUGGCUGUUUCUUCGUGCUGUUUGCUCGAGUGUUGGCAAAUCAUUUGUUCAUAAUCAUGGUUUACUGGGACUGGCUCGCUCACAUUGCGUCCCCAGGCACUCCCACAGAAGUGCAGUAAUGCGACAAACCACUCCACUGCUUUAUCCAUGUUGAUUAUUGUGUAAACACUGAUAAAUUUGUACAAGUAAAUCAAUAUAUCAUGUGUAAAUCCUUCAUACAUAGUGUUUGUUUCAUGUUUGAGUUCCCAAAUUUUGCAAAUAUAUUUUGUGCGGUUAUCUUUAUAUAAACAAGUUCUAUGAUGACA